UUCAGAAACACAUUUUCAUGCCAAUCACCCAUUCUUGCACCUAGCAUCAGCAGACUUUCCAGAUUAAUUCAGGAUAACAGAAGAGGCAAAGAAGUAUGGAGUCACCUGUGACUGAAAAAGAAAGCCACAAGCCACUGUAGAAGUGACAAAUUUACUGCCAAUGUGUACCAAUCUGAACAUCGAGAACAUAAUCUAAGACAUGCCCAUGAAUCCAGAAGGGUCACUUGUUAUGCUCAAAAUUCAAAAUCCAGCUUCCUAUGAAGAAAUUGGCUUUUGUCCUACUCAUUACUGUCAGCG
rnacentral:misc_RNA from 1 species